rnacentral:sRNA from 1 species
AAAAACUUAAAUAACGAAAGCCCUACCUCUCAUUCGUCCUUGCGACUCCUCGAUCGCGCCAGUGUAAAUAAGGUGCUUGCAUGGAAG